GAUUUCUGGUCUGAUGCGCCUGGCCCGCGGCUCUUAGCUUGUGAGUGCCGGGUCGCGUCUGCCAUCCUUGUUAGGUACUCUACUACCCUUCACUGGGCCGGUAGCAGUUAUCUAACAUCUUUUACUUUGAGAAAAUUAGAGUGUUUAAAGCAGGCUGUCUUAUGCUCUGAAUACAUUAGCAUGGAAUAAUAAUUUAGGACUUCGGUUCUAUUUUGUUGGUUCUUAGGACUGAAGUAAUGAUUGAUAGGGAUAGUUGGGGGUGCUAGUAUUCAGUGGCCAGAGGUGAAAUUCUCGGAUUCACUGAAGACUAACUUAUGCGAAAGCAUU
rnacentral:rRNA from 1 species